GGAGCUGGGGCUCAAUGGUAGAGCACUUGCCUAGUACAUGCAAGGCCCUGGGUUCAAUCCUCAGCACCA
rnacentral:tRNA from 1 species